UACAGAGGGUGCGAGCGUUAAUCGGAAUUACUGGGCGUAAAGCGUGCGUAGACGGUCAUGUAAGUCGGGUGUGAAAGCCCCGGGCUCAACCUGGGAAUUGCAUUCGAGACUGCAAGGCUAGAGUGCGGUAGAGGGUGGUGGAAUUCCCGGUGUAGCAGUGAAAUGCGUAGAGAUCGGGAGGAACAUCUGUGGCGAAGGCGGCCACCUGGACCAACACUGACACUGAGGCACGAAAGCGUGGGGAGCAAACAGG
rnacentral:rRNA from 1 species